UGCUAUCGCAUGCCAGUGAGCUAGAUUUUUCAUUAGGCUUGAUGAUUGGAAAAAUUGACAGCCGCUUUUCAAAAGCGAUAACUUUAUAGCGAUGCAUGUAUCUGUGUGUGUGUGUGUGUGUGUGUGUGUGUGUGUGUGUUUGCUCCACAAAUGCAACGCCAAAUGUUUGGGCAGACAAUUGACGAAAAUCUAUAACAGCAA
rnacentral:sRNA from 1 species